GACGAACGCUGGCGGCGUGCUUAACACAUGCAAGUCGAACGGUAAGGCCCUUCGGGGUACACGAGUGGCGAACGGGUGAGUAACACGUGGGUGAUCUGCCCUGCACUUCGGGAUAAGCCUGGGAAACUGGGUCUAAUACCGGAUAGGACCACUGCCUGCAUGGGUGGUGGUGGAAAGCUUUUGCGGUGUGGGAUGGGCCCGCGGCCUAUCAGCUUGUUGGUGGGGUGAUGGCCUACCAAGGCGACGACGGGUAGCCGGCAUGGGAGGGUGACCGGCCAGACUGGGACUGAGAUACGGCCCAGACUCCGACGGGAGGCAGCAGUGGGGAAUAGUGCACAAUGGGCGCAAGCCUGAUGCAGCGACGCCGCGUGAGGGAUGACGGCCUUCGGGUUGUAAACCUCUUUCAGCACCGACGAAGCGCAAGUGACGGUAGGUGCAGAAGAAGGACCGGCCAACUACGUGUCAGCAGCCGCGGUAA
rnacentral:rRNA from 1 species